rnacentral:rRNA from 1 species
GGGAAGGGAAACCGGACCGACCUUCGGGAGCCGUGGCAGGUGCUGCAUGGCUGUCGUCAGCUCGUGUCGUGAGAUGUUCGGUUAAGUCCGCUAACGAGCGCAACCCUCAGGGUCAGUUACAUGUGUCUGGCCCGACUGCCCGUAGAAAGCGGGAGGAAGGUGGGGAUGACGUCAAGUCAGCAUGGCCUUUAUAUCUAGGGCGACACACACGCUACAAUGGCUGGCACAAUGGGCGGCCAACCGGCGACGGGGAGCCAAUCCAAGAAAGUCAGUCUCAGUUCGGAUUGCAGGCUGCAACCCGCCUGCAUGAAGUCGGAGUUGCUAGUAAACGCACAUCAGCAGGGGUGCGUUGAAUACGUUCCCGGGCCUUGUACACACCGCCCGUCACGUCAUGGGAGCUGGUCACGCCUGAAGUCGGUGGGCUAACCGCAAGGAGGCAGCCGCCUAAGGCAGGGCUGGUGACUGGGACGAAGUCGUAACAAGGUAGCUGUACCGGAAGG